rnacentral:rRNA from 1 species
AAUCAACGCUGGCGGCGUGCCUAACACAUGCAAGUCGAACGAGAAAGUGGAGCAAUCCAUGAGUAAAGUGGCGCACGGGUGAGUAACACGUGACUAACCUACCCUUGAGUGGGGAUAACCUCGGGAACGGGCGUAUACCGCAUAAUAUCGAGAGAUCAAAGGAGCAAUUCGCUUAAGGAGGGGUCGCGGCUGAUUAGCUAGUUGGUGAGGUAAUGGCUCACCAAGGCAUGAUCAGUAUCCGGCCUGAGAGGGCGCACGGACACACUGGAACUGAAACACGGU